rnacentral:rRNA from 1 species
CAGCAGCCACGGUAAUACGUAGGUGGCAAGCGUUGUCCGGAAUUAUUGGGCGUAAAGCGCGCGCAGGCGGAUAGGUCAGUCUGUCUUAAAAGUUCGGGGCUUAACCCCGUGAUGGGAUGGAAACUGCCAAUCUAGAGUAUCGGAGAGGAAAGUGGAAUUCCUAGUGUAGCGGUGAAAUGCGUAGAUAUUAGGAAGAACACCAGUGGCGAAGGCGACUUUCUGGACGAAAACUGACGCUGAGGCGCGAAAGCCAGAGGAGCAAACGGGAUUAGAUACCCCCGUAGUCCCUGUCUCUUAUACC